rnacentral:snRNA from 1 species
GGGCUUGCUUAGACAGCGCAUAUACUAAAAUUGGAACUACAGAAAAAAUUAGCAUGGCCCCUGUACAAGGAGGACAUGCAAAUUCAUGAGGUGUUCCAUAUUUUU